rnacentral:tRNA from 1 species
GGGCGGUUAGCUCAGCGGGAGAGCACUACCCUGACACGGUAGGGGUCACAAGUUCAAUCCUUGUACCGCCCACCA